CCUACGGGUGGCAGCAGUGGGGAAUAUUGGACAAUGGGGGCAACCCUGAUCCAGCCAUGCCGCGUGUGUGAAGAAGGCCCUCGGGUUGUAAAGCACUUUCAGUGAGGAAGAACGCCUGGUGGUUAAUACCCAUCAGGAAAGACAUCACUCACAGAAGAAGCACCGGCUAACUCCGUGCCAGCAGCCGCGGUAAUACGGAGGGUGCGAGCGUUAAUCGGAAUUACUGGGCGUAAAGCGCGCGUAGGUGGCUUGAUAAGCCGGUUGUGAAAGCCCCUGGCUCAACCUGGGAACGGCAUCCGGAACUGUCAAGCUAGAGUGCAGGAGAGGAAGGUAGAAUUCCCGGUGUAGCGGUGAAAUGCGUAGAGAUCGGGAGGAAUACCAGUGGCGAAGGCGGCCUUCUGGACUGACACUGACACUGAGGUGCGAAAGCGUGGGUAGCAAACAGGAUUAGAUACCCUUGUAGUC
rnacentral:rRNA from 1 species